rnacentral:misc_RNA from 1 species
AACGCACCUUGCGCCCUUUGGCUAUUCCGAAGGGCAUGCCUGUUUGAGUAUCAUGAACACCUCAACUCUCAUGGCCUGCCAUGAUGAGCUUGGAUUUUGGGGGUCUUGCCGGCGAAACCGUCGGCUCCUCUCAAACAAAUCAGCUUGCCAGUGUUUGGUGGCAUCACAGGUGUGAUAACUAUCUACGCUUGUGGUUCUCCACCAGGUAACCUUCAGCAAUGGAGGUUCGCUGGAGCUCACAGACGUCUCUCCUCAGGGAAGACAGCCUUUGAACGUUUGAUCUCAAAUCAGGUAGGACUACCCGCUGAACUUAA